rnacentral:rRNA from 1 species
UACGUAGGGUGCAAGCGUUGUCCGGAAUUAUUGGGCGUAAAGCGCUCGCAGGCGGUUUCUUAAGUCUGAUGUGAAAGCUCCGAGCUCAACUCGGAGAGGCCACCCGAUACUGCUGUGACUUGAGUCCAGUAGAGGAGCGUGGAAUUCCUGGUGUAGCGGUGAAAUGCGCAGAUAUCAGGAGGAACACCAGCAGCGAAGGCGGCGCUCUGGGCUGGAACUGACGCUGAGGAGCGAAAGCGUGGGUAGCAAACAGG